AAGAUGCUAUUAAAAUAGGUAUUAUAAAACUUUGUCAAGGUUUAGUUGUAGGUUAAACCCCUGCGCAUCUUA
rnacentral:tRNA from 1 species